CAGUGAUGUGGAGUAAAACUUAUAAAAGCGACCUCAGUUCGGAUUGAAGGCUGAAAUUCGCCUUCAUGAAGUCGGAAUUGCUAGUAAUGGCAGGUCAGCAUACUGCCGUGAAUACGUUCCCGGGCCUUGUACACACCGCCCGUCACACCAUGAGAGUUGGAGAUACCCGAAGCCUAUGAGCUAACUUUUAGAGGCAGUAGUCGAAGGUAGAAUCAAUGAUUGGGGUGAAGUCGUAACAAGGUACC
rnacentral:rRNA from 1 species